UUUGCUAUUGGUGAAGUUCGCGACUAGCAACUGAUUCGUUGUUCCACUAUAAUGAAGUGACAUAGGAUUAUCAAGACCAUCACUUACGGUCAAUAUUUCUCUAUGUCUUUUUCCAUCAUAGGAGAUAACUACAACGUUGUUCGAUCUGCACCCCACCACGAACACAUUACCAUCAUUAUCUACAUCAAUACCACGAGGACUCUUAAGAACGCUUUCGUUAUGAAAUGUCCAUUGUAUUUUACCUUGAAGGGUAUAACAAAUAACAGUGUGUUUCGCGUUGUUUAUAUGAUAUACGUUGUCCCUAAAGGUUGCAGUGUAACAUGCAAUGGGUAUUUUGUCUCGAACUAUAACACUUUUAGACUCGUCAUUUAGAUUGAUCAUUCCUAUACCUUUGUUUUCACCGGAAUAAAUCAAUUGAUUACCUUUCAGUGAUAUGCCAUCAAUAUUCUAAUCCAGUGCAAUUUAUUUCAUCAUUUGUCUUGUCACCAGGUUUAUUAUGGUAAUGGUCCCUGGAUUAUAAGAUGAUACAGCCAAUGUAUUGUCCUCACUAAUGUACACUAUAUCAAACGGGUAACACGGCAUCUUCACCUCAAAAUCUUGUAAUCCUGAAUUGCUGAAUAUUUUUACACUUUUUUCAGAGAGUUAAGUAAAUGCCAAUCUAUCAUCUGGCAGUAUGCAACAUCCGUAAACGAAGUCUCCUUGAGUUUCGAUGGAUUUGUGUAUCGUUAGCUUUAUAUUUUCUAUAGAUUUUGUUGGAACGAUUGGAAUCAUCAAUUGGGCUUGUCUGUCCUUCUUCUUGAUCAGAACUAUGUCGCAUGG
rnacentral:lncRNA from 1 species